GACGAACGCUGGCGGCGUGCUUAACACAUGCAAGUCGAACGGAAAGGCCCUGCUUUUGUGGGGUGCUCGAGUAGCGAACGGGUGAGUAACACGUGAGUAACCUGCCCUUGACUUUGGGAUAACUUCAGGAAACUGGGGCUAAUACCGGAUAGGAGCUCCUGCUGCAUGGUGGGGGUUGGAAAGUUUCGGCGGUUGGGGAUGGACUCGCGGCUUAUCAGCUUGUUGGUGGGGUAGUGGCUUACCAAGGUUUUGACGGGUAGCCGGCCUGAGAGGGUGACCGGCCACAUUGGGACUGAGAUACGGCCCAGACUCCUACGGGAGGCAGCAGUGGGGAAUAUUGCACAAUGGGCGGAAGCCUGAUGCAGCAACGCCGCGUGCGGGAUGACGGCCUUCGGGUUGUAAACCGCUUUCGCCUGUGACGAAGCGUGAGUGACGGUAAUGGGUAAAGAAGCACCGGCUAACUACGUG
rnacentral:rRNA from 1 species